AACGCACCUUGCGCUCCUUGGUAUUCCGAGGAGCAUGCCCGUUUGAGUGUCGCGAUAUCAUCCGGUCCGCAUUCUUUUGUGGCUGGGAUUUGGAUGUGCUGCCGGCCGCCGUGAAAGGUGGGUUGGCUCGUCCUAAAAGCAUCAGUCGGACUUCCCACUGGCAAAGUCUGUUCUCACUCGGCGUGAUAAUCUCACCCGUCGAGGACGUACGAUUGGCCCGAGGGAGUGGGUUCGGCUUCCAACCGUCCUUGGACAAAAACCUUUGGCAUCUGACCUCAAAUCGGGUAGGACUACCCGCUGAACUUAA
rnacentral:misc_RNA from 1 species